CUUUAUUGGAGAGUUUGAUCCUGGCUCAGGAUGAACGCUGGCGGCGUGCCUAAUACAUGCAAGUCGAGCGAAUGGAUUGAGAGCUUGCUCUCAAGAAGUUAGCGGCGGACGGGUGAGUAACACGUGGGUAACCUGCCCAU
rnacentral:rRNA from 1 species